AGACCACAUUCAGAUGCCAAAGAUUCUUGCUUGGUUAUUCUCAAACUUAUGAGAAUCUAAAACGCGAGCCACGGUAUGGAUUUUCUCUUGAGCCCCCAUGACUUUGCCUUGUAUUUUGGGCAUGAAUGACUUCAUCAAGGGGAAAGAAUUUGAGGAAGGAGCCUCUGAGGCUAGGAGGGGGUGGGAAGGGGUUGGGGGAAGAGGAGGGAAAAGGAGCUGUAGAGGGAGGAACCAGGCUGGGGCUGGGGCGUCUCCCCAUGAUGCUCCCCCACCCCUGGCGCGAGGCCCCAGGGACUGACUGAUUUUCCCACAGGAAAUGUGUAUGAUUGCAUGUCUGUUUUGUGGGCUGGCCAUUUGGAUUGAGGGAAUGUCUGUGUUGUGAUUCCUUAUUGAUUCGAAGGUUGGAAAGGUUUGUGCUCAAUACAGGGGUCUCUUGGUGCGAUGGGAAAUGUGAUCGCAGCCGCCUUCAGGGUGGGGAGAGCCCUCGAGGCCCUCAGUGGUGGCCGGUGUCGGCCUUCGCUUCCCUGGGUGAGCUGCCCUCAGGGUGGGAAGGGAGGUCCUCGGUGGUGGCCGCUGUUGGCCUUCGCCUCCCUGGGUGAGGGCUGCUCCAUCCCCGGCUCUCCGACUCCUUGCCUGGCACCUUCCUCGUUGGAGGCCGUGAUCCAUCAACUUUGUCCACGCGUGUCCUGCAGACUAAUGCUGACUGGAGGUUCAGGAGUGGUCAGAGGAGGCCAGAGGAGGCCCUCGUGAUGCGAAGCUAAACGUUUAAUGAUGGCGCUGUUGAGUGCAUGAGCCGCGUCAGCCCAAGAGUCUGGGGCGAGGCUUGCUGCAGGGGCUACAGAGUCCAAGAAGCCCCAGGACCCACAGGCUGCAAGCUAGAGUCCUGGGAGGGUGUGGCUUGAAGACUUGAGAAGCGGAGGGUGCAGAUCCCACCGGGGUCUGAGGAGCUGAGACCCAGAAGCACGGGCUGCAGAAGACAGAUGUCACUGGCCCAUCAGCCAGACAGUGCCCAGGAGGCUGAUGCCACAUAGAAGACCUGCAGGUCAGUGGACAUGAA